rnacentral:tRNA from 1 species
GGGUAUAGCUCAGUGGUAGAGUGAGUGCUUUGUACACAUGAGGCCCUGAGUUCAAUCCCCAGUAUGUCCA